UGACAUGUCAGGAAUCCUGUAGAGAUAUGGGAGUGCUCGAAAGAGAAUCUGAACACAGGUGCUGCAUGGCCGUCGUCAGCUCGUGUCGUGAGAUGUUGGGUUAAGUCCCGCAACGAGCGCAACCCUUAUCAUUAGUUGCUACGCAAGGGCACUCUAAUGAGACUGCCGGUGACAAACCGGAGGAAGGUGGGGAUGACGUCAGGUCAUCACGGCCCUUAUGGGUAGGGCUACACACGUCAUACAAUGGCCGGUACAGAGGGCUGCCAACUCGCGAGAGGGAGCUAAUCUCAGAAAACCGGUCGUAGUCCGGAUCGCAGUCCGCAACUCGACUGCGUGAAGUCGGAAUCGCUAGUAAUCGCGGAUCAGCUUGCCGCGGUGAAUACGUUCCCGGGUCUUGUACACACCGCCCGUCACACCAUGGGAGCGGGUUCUGCCAGAAGUAGUUAGCCUAACCGCAAGGAGGGCGAUUACCACGGCAGGGUUCGUGACUGGGGUGAAGUCGUAACAAGGUAACC
rnacentral:rRNA from 1 species